CGUAGCGGCCAUAGCGGCGGGGAAACUCCCGUACCCAUCCCGAACACGGAAGAUAAGCCCGUCAACGUUCCAUGUUGUACUGAAGUGCGAGAGCCUUCGGGAACCAUGGAGCGCUGCUACGU
rnacentral:rRNA from 2 species